AGUUCCCAGAAUUCUGACACGGAGGCAUGUGCCUAUGAGAUCUUCUUUUCAGGCAUCCAUCCUUCCUGGCCCACCUUCAGUACUGAGGAAUUACAGCAGAAAACAUGAAGAAUUGGUGCUUGCUGACUUGCCUGGGAUUGUAAGUUGUAUCCUGGUACUCUGAGCCUCAUGGAUUUGGGAAGGGAAAUUCUCCCUCAAUGGAACGACUUCCAUCCAAGACUGUUCUGCUCUUCAUCUCCAGAAAGAAGCAAAGGACCUCAAAUCUCAGCAUGUACACCAGUAGGAUCAGGCUGAACAGUUUCAAGCAUUGUGUUUCAGUCCUCAGAGCCACCAUACAAGGUACAGUCUGUUUUUUGAACAAAUGGCACAAUUGAGUCAUGGUGAAGUCAACCUUGUGGAUAAGAAGAAGGAUUAACUCUGGCCCUUGGUAGAGCACUGAUCUCGUAUGAUCAAGGCCCUGGAUCUAACUAUGGGAAAUGAAAAAGAAAUUUCAAACAUAAAGACACACACAAACAAUUUAGAACUACCAAUGCAGCUACUUUCAACUUCCCUGUACCUUCCUGAAAUGUUUCAAAUGUAAUAUUGAAACUGAAUAUUUGUGGUGUCUUGAGUUCAAACAUUCAUUCAUUGAUUUAGGUUUCUGAGGAAUGAUGGGUACUCAUCUAGUCUCAGUCCAUUUAAGAUUCACAAACAUUGUCCCAGACAAUGAGACCCAUCUUUCUUCAGCAUAGAGAAGAUGAAUCACUAGACUAUGCACGUAGCAGUAAAGGGGCUUGAUACAGCCAAACUUUGCCUCAGACCCUCUGGCCAGGCCCACUUGGAUAAUGUGCCUGCUUUUGCACAGUUGUCAGUCUUAUCAGCAAGUGUCCUGUGAGCAAAAAAACCAAGAAGACUCCUCCAGUAAGAGUAAAAGAUGCUUGUGACUGUCUGCAGUUAAGGUAGUAGAGUUCUCAUAACUUGGGCCUUCAUUUCUCCAGGCCCAGCUGUCCCCUGGCUUUGGCAGUGGCAUAUUGAUGGGACUGUCUGUUCUAGAAAACACAUGCUGGGAUGUUAGAAAGGAUGAGCUCUCAGCUUCCAUAGUGAUAUCUCUUUUGGAGCCCUUACUUGAGGGCCUAGUACCAAAUCAGGCCAUAUUCACAGAUGGUUCUUUCUUUCCCACCACUGAUAAUCAGGCCUUUCUUUAUUUUAUUCAUAUUACUGUUGUUGAUAGAGUCUCAUGUUUCCCAGGCAGGCACAGAGUCAUGAUCCUUCUGCCCUAUGUCCAUGGUGUUGAAAUAAGAGGCUUGUCACCAC
rnacentral:lncRNA from 1 species